rnacentral:rRNA from 1 species
UACGGGGGGGGCAAGCGUUGUUCGGAAUUACUGGGCGUAAAGGGCUCGUAGGCGGCCAACUAAGUCGGAUGUGAAAUCCCCAAGCUUAACUUGGGAACUGCAUCCGAUACUGGAUGGCUUGAAUCCGGGAGAGGGAUGCAGAAUUCCAGGUGUAGCGGUGAAAUGCGUAGAUAUCUGGAGGAAUACCGGUGGCGAAGGCGGCAUCCUGGACCAGUACUGACACUGAGGCACGAAAGCGUGGGGAGCAAACAGG